rnacentral:rRNA from 1 species
AUUGAACGCUGGCGGCAGGCCUAACACAUGCAAGUCGAGCGAGCGGCGGACGGGUGAGUAAUGUCUGGGAAACUGCCUGAUGGAGGGGGCUAACUACUGGAAACGGUAGCUAAUACCGCAUCCCAUCAGAUGUGCCCAGAUGGGAUUAGCUGGUAGGUGGGGUAACGACUCACCUAGGCGACGGUCCCUAGCUGGUCUGAGAGGAUGACCAGCCACACUGGAACUGAGACACGGUCCAGACGCCUACGGGAGGCAGCAGGGGGGAAUAUUGCACAAUGGGCGAAAGCCUGAUCCAGCCAUGCCGCGUGUGUGAAGAAGGCCUUCGGGUUGUAAAGCACUUUCAGCUGGGAGGCGUUACCCGCAGAAGAAGCACCGGCUAACUCCGUGCCAGCAGCCGCGGUAAUUC